rnacentral:tRNA from 1 species
GGAGAGGUGGCCGAGUGGCUUAAGGCAGCGGUUUGCUAAACCGCCGUACGGUUGUAAAGCUGUACCGGGAGUUCGAAUCUCCCCUUCUCCG